GACAGAGGGUGCAAACGUUGCUCGGAAUCACUGGGCGUAAAGGGCGUGUAGGCGGGAAUGUAAGUCGGGCGUGAAAGCCCCAGGCUCAACCUGGGAACUGCACUCGAAACUGCGUUUCUUGAGUAUCGGAGAGGAAAGCGGAAUACCUGGUGUAGAGGUGAAAUUCGUAGAUAUCAGGUGGAACACCAGUGGCGAAGGCGGCUUUCUGGACGGUAACUGACGCUGAGACGCGAAAGCGUGGGGAGCGAACAGG
rnacentral:rRNA from 1 species